CAGUUGUGGCGUGUCUUGAACGAGACGAACCUAACACCUCUCGCAUGUGAAGUUCUGCGAUUGCCAGUGGUCGAAAUACCAAACUUAGACGACGCAACAGACCGGAUCGUUUCCUACAAUCCCAUUUACCGACUUAUCAAAGAGAAGGAUGAGCUCAUUCAAUCGACACGAAAAAUUCUCGCCGAGAGAGCCCAAGGAAUCACCGAAGGCCGGGUGCGGAAUUACCGGUUUACUUUCGUUAUCCACGCUUUCAAACCAACAGAGGCGAGCCUCUCCACUGAUCUGCAGACUGAAUAAAGCAUGCUUCUUCUUUCUCAGAGUAUUCAAUUACGC